AUGACAGCCUCACUCCUGUUCUGAUGAUGAGAUUGAGCCAUAGUUGAAUAUAAAGCAAAAAAGGUUAGGUACAGUGAUCAAUUUGCACCUUAUUCCUAUUUUUUAAGAUGUUGGAGCUAACUUUAUAGUAGGUAAUGAUAAUAUGAGAAGCCCGAAAUUGACAAUUAUUGGCCAUAACAUUGCAUCUAGUUUGAUUGCACUUAGACAUCAUUCCUAGAGUAUUAUUAAUUGUAUAUAUUAACCGUAUUAACUAUUAUGUUCAAUUAUUAUUAACGAUUUAUACGUAUUCUAAUUUUAUUUGAA